AUUGAACGCUGGCGGCAUGCCUUACACAUGCAAGUCGAACGGCAGCAUGGGUGCUUGCACCUGAUGGCGAGUGGCGAACGGGUGAGUAAUGCAUCGGAACGUACCCGGAAGUGGGGGAUAACGUAGCGAAGGUUACGCUAAUACCGCAUAUUCUGUGAGCAGGAAAGUGGGGGAUCGCAAGACCUCGCGCUUCCGGAGCGGCCGAUGUCGGAUUAGCUAGUUGGCGGGGUAAAGGCCCACCAAGGCAACGAUCCGUAGCGGGUCUGAGAGGAUGAUCCGCCACACUGGGACUGAGACACGGCCCAGACGCCUACGGGAGGCAGCAGUGGGGAAUUUUGGACAAUGGGGGCAACCCUGAUCCAGCCAUGCCGCGUGAGUGAAGAAGGCCUUCGGGUUGUAAAGCUCUUUCGGCCGGGAAGAAAUCGCACAGGUUAAUACCUUGUGUGGAUGACGGUACCGGAAUAAGAAGCACCGGCUAACUACGUGCCAGCCGCCGCCGUAAUAC
rnacentral:rRNA from 1 species